rnacentral:rRNA from 1 species
UACGUAGGGCGCAAGCGUUGUCCGGCAUUAUUGGGCGUAAAGAGCUCGUAGGCGGUUUGUCGCGUCUGUCGUGAAAGCUUGGGGCUUAACCCCAAGUCUGCGGUGGAUACGGGCAGACUAGAGGCAGGUAGGGGAGAACGGAAUUCCCGGUGUAGCGGUGAAAUGCGCAGAUAUCGGGAGGAACACCGGUGGCGAAGGCGGCGUCCUGGACCAACACUGACACUGAUGAGCGAAAGCCAGGGGAGCAAACGGG